rnacentral:rRNA from 1 species
GAUGAACGCUGGCGGCGUGCCUAAUACAUGCAAGUCGAGCGAACAGAUGAGGAGCUUGCUCCUCUGACGUUAGCGGCGGACGGGUGAGUAACACGUGGAUAACCUACCUAUAAGACUGGGAUAACUUCGGGAAACCGGAGCUAAUACCGGAUAAUAUAUUGAACCGCAUGGUUCAAUAGUGAAAGACGGUUUUGCUGUCACUUAUAGAUGGAUCCGCGCCGCAUUAGCUAGUUGGUAAUGUAACGGCUUACCAAGGCAACGAUGCGUAGCCGACCUGAGAGGGUGAUCGGCCACACUGGAACUGAGACACGGUCCAGACUCCUACGGGAGGCAGCAGUAGGGAAUCUUCCGCAAUGGGCGAAAGCCUGACGGAGCAACGCCGCGUGAGUGAUGAAGGUCUUCGGAUCGUAAAACUCUGUUAUUAGGGAAGAACAAAUGUGUAAGUAACUAUGCACGUCUUGACGGUACCUAAUCAGAAAGCCACGGCUAACUACGUG